AUUGAACGCUGGCGGCAGGCCUAACACAUGCAAGUCGAGCGGAGCGGCGGACGGGUGAGUAAUGCCUAGGAAUCUGCCUGGUAGCGGGGGAUAACGUCCGGCAACGGGCGCUAAUACCGCAUACUAUCAGAUGAGCCUAGGUCGGAUUAGCUAGUUGGUGGGGUAAAGGCCUACCAUGGCUACGAUCCGUAACUGGUCUGAGGGGAUGAUCAGUAACAUGGGAACGAGAACACGGUCCGGACUCCAACGGGAGGCGGCAGUGGGAAAUAUUGGACAAUGGGGGAAAGCCUGAUCCAGACAUGCGGCGUGUGGGAAGAAGGUCUUCGGAUUGUAAAGCACGUUAAGUUGGGAGGCGUUACCGGCAGAGUAAGCAACGGCUAACUUCGUGCCAGCAGCCGCGGUAAUAC
rnacentral:rRNA from 1 species